CCCCGUUUCUCCCUCUUUCCUUGUUCCCCCCACGCGGCCACGCUUCUCUCGACGGUUCCUCCUCGCCUCUCCGGCACCGCCCCAUGCGCCCCUCCCGCGGCUCCCCCGUCGCUCCACUCUCUCCGCUGGCCCGCGCUCCGCACACCGCGUUCCUCGUGUUCCUCGUGCUCUUCGUUCCUCGCGUUCCUCGUGCUCCGAUACACGAGAUCCAGAUAGUGCUCGUGUUCCUCGUGCGAGAAGGGAAGAAAGGGACCGGCGUUGCGGGUGCCAUCCCACGCUCGCCGUCACCUCCGCGCUCCUACCCCCACUGCGCACUGUCGUCGCUGUCCACUCCGCCCGAAGAACCCGGCCCACGCGACGACGGAGGGGAGCUCCACCACCGCCUCCUCCGCCGGGUAAGCUUCAGAGAUCCCCGAGUGCUCGAUCCAAAUUGUGUCGUUUGGUUGGUGAUUAAGCUAUGCUGGCUCAUGCCAAUCGGAGUUGGUGUGUUAAUUUGUUUUAGCAUAACAUCGAGGCAGUGCUCGUGUUCCUCGUGCUCUUCGUAGUGAAGGUGCGAUGGUUAAUACCAACUUGAAUUCCUGUGUAAACUUAUUUCUUAAAUUAUUUGGUGAUAAAAUUAGUGGGAGUAUGUCUUAGCUUCCCUGUUGUUCUAAAUUGUAAUUUGAUAGUCAUAGGAGAGCACUAGACAGAGAUGGAAUUGUGGAAUUGCCAUAUGAUUCGAACUUGGAUUACAUUGCCGUCAUGUGUAACUUCAUAUGUUUUAUUUUUAAACGAGGCAACAUUUUGGGUGUAUGUUUUGCAUUUUAGAUCAGUUAUUCUGCAACUUAACAUCUGAACUUGGUGUGGUAAACUUGAAGAAAAUGGGUCACAUUUCCAUAUACUAAUAUGGGGCUGAUACAUGGUUUGUUUUUGUUAAUGGAAUUAGAUAUGCUAUGCUGUAAGUUUCCAUCAGAUUAAGCAUGCAAGGUCCAUAGAAUAGAAAUUAUACCAUUGCAGGUUGUGAUGUGAGGAUAUUGUUGUGCUUUUCAUUGUGGGAUACUUCCUCAUAUUGCAAAUAUGCAAAGAGGCUUGCUCAGACCUAUUCUUUUUGUCGCUGGAAGCCUGGAAGUGGAGCACAUUAUUUUACUUGAUAUGAGAUGAUGAAUCGUGUAAAAUCUCCUGAGCAUGCUUUCUGCUAACUAAACUGUUGAUGCUUGGCAGAUUGUAAAGAGGAAACCUGGGAAACAUUCAUCGCUGAUUCACUGCUCUACGAGGUUUACUUUCGAUUUCAGUUGAGAUAUGCAAGUGAUAGUCUGGCGUAGCACGAUUUAUGAGAGGAAGAAAAGCGUCAUACCUUCCUCGCCCCUCGCCGUCGCCCCUAACAACAAUUCAAGCAUGGUGGCUGUUAGGGCCUGAAGUCUGAACCAAUUGAAGAAGAUAGAACUGAUGCUGACCAGGAAGCCUCACCGUGCACGUAGUACUUGGUGCGGGGCAGCCGGGCGGAGGUGAUGUCCUUGAAGGCUUGAAGAGAACCUCCAUGAACUUGGCGGCGGUGGCCUGGUCCACCGUCCACCAUGUUCUGGACUUCCAUAACACGAAGUUGCUGUUGAUCAUCCCACAGAGUGCAGAGUUUCAGAUAAGUAUGUGCAGGGUCAUCACAAGUUCAGAACGAGAAAGCAGAGUCGACCACAAACUCAGAUGCUAUGGCCUAACAGAAGUGUUUUUUUUUUUUUUGCAUAAUGUAAAGGGCAAUUUCGAGUAUAAACCUGAUGGUCACAAGAAAAGAUCCUGCAGGCAUAUAGAAGUCUCUUGUUCUCCGUGUCCACCUUGGCAUACAGAAUGUUUUUGCCAAAAAAAGAGAGUAUGGUCGUAAACCAAUCACCUCUUGGAAACGUAAUCAGGGAAAGGCUAGCUCAUAGUUGGAACUGGAACGGCAUAUCAAGGAUCAGCUCACCAUUCACGGUAGAACUUCAUGGUCCUCAUGGUAGCUCCUGCUGCAUCAUAUAUUUCUGUACUUCACGGUGGGAAAGGAGGAGCAGAUAUUUUCUUCUUUAACCAUAAAUAAAAACAUUCUACAUCCUUCCUCUUUUU